rnacentral:rRNA from 1 species
UACGUAGGGGGCUAGCGUUGUCCGGAAUCAUUGGGCGUAAAGCGCGUGUAGGCGGUCCGGUAAGUCCGCUGUGAAAGUCGGGGGGCUCAACCCUCGGAUGCCGGUGGAUACUGUCGGGCUAGAGUCCGGAAAGAGGCGAGUGGAAUUCCUGGUGUAGCGGUGAAAUGCGCAGAUAUCAGGAGGAACACCGAUGGCGAAGGCAGCUCGCUGGGACGGUACUGACGCUAAGGCGCGAAAGCGUGGGAGCAAACAGG